GGCUCCAUAGUGUGGUGGUUAGCACGUCUGCUUUACAUGCAGAAGGUCCUGGGUUCGCGCCCCAGGUGGAGCCA
rnacentral:tRNA from 1 species